rnacentral:rRNA from 1 species
ACUCCUACGGGAGGCAGCAGUGGGGAAUAUUGCACAAUGGGCGCAAGCCUGAUGCAGCCAUGCCGCGUGUAUGAAGAAGGCCUUCGGGUUGUAAAGUACUUUCAGCAGUGAGGAAGGUGGGUAUGUUAAUAGCAUACUCAUUUGACGUUAGCUGCAGAAGAAGCACCGGCUAACUCCGUGCCAGCAGCCGCGGUAAUACGGAGGGUGCGAGCGUUAAUCGGAAUUACUGGGCGUAAAGCGCAUGCAGGUGGUUUGUUAAGUCAGAUGUGAAAGCCCGGGGCUCAACCUCGGAAUUGCAUUUGAAACUGGCAAACUAGAGUACUGUAGAGGGGGGUAGAAUUUCAGGUGUAGCGGUGAAAUGCGUAGAGAUCUGAAGGAAUACCGGUGGCGAAGGCGGCCCCCUGGACAGAUACUGACACUCAGAUGCGAAAGCGUGGGGAGCAAACAGGAUUAGAUACCCUGGUAGGCAUAG